rnacentral:lncRNA from 1 species
AUCAGGACCCUGGCAAGGCACCUGCCCAGCUGCUGCGAUCUCUGCCAUCCGCUUCUCCAUCUGCUCCAGUCGCUCUAGUAUGGACAUCCGGAACUGGUUGUCUGAGGGGGAACGGGUAUGGGAGGCUGAGUGGGCAGUCUAGGUGAUGCCCUGAACACCAAAAGUAGACCUGUCCCAAGAUCUGGGGAUGAGGACACAGAACCAUAUUCUUUUAUCUUCCCCAAAACAACAGCUCCUUUACCCCUUCACCUAAAUAAAGCCCACCAGGACUCAGUCCUUAAACUAGGGCUGUUAAUACUACCCACUGAUCUAGAACCCAGAUCUGGAACCAAAACUGUUUCCUUCAAGGUACAGAGGUAGUAGGAUUCCCAAAUGGUCAUCCAGCCUCCAGAUGUCCCAAAUCCCACCCGUACACACUCUUCCCCCCAGCCUUUUCCUAGGCAAAAUGUUCUGUCAAUUUUUGCAGCAGACACUACCUUUGUCCCCCAUGGUGAAGGUGAAGGAUUCCAGGGUCCCUCCCUUUUAAUAACCACUGCCCCAAAAAGCUCAGGGACUGUGAUUUGAAAAGUACCUCCCCUUCCUCCCAGCCCCCCGCAGCUGUCCACAAAGACGAUGGUGGGGGACGGAAGGUGACAGAGAUGGAUAGCCAUAUAGCCAUGUCCAUUUCUCCUCCUCCUCCUCCCCGCCCCAUAUACAAAUACGCACGUACACACAUAUCCCCCCAAGCUAUAUCUGUCCCCUCCUGAGAUCAAACAAGGACAAGAAGGGGAGGCAGGAGGGGAUCAGAGCUGUAGGAAAACAGACACAAACGGUGAAGGUUGGAGAUGUUCUGAGAUGCCAGGAUAGAAGGGGAUGAAGGUACACAGGUGAUAGGAGGACAGAGAAUGAUGAACAGAAACCCAAGGAAAACAAAGGGAGGAGAGAGAGCAAAAAAGAUAAAGUGAAGGAGAGGAGAGAAAGGACAAAGGAGGGCUGGGGGAAAAGUGCCAAACAAGCAGUAAGAAAGGACGAUAAAAGACAGGCAAGUUAAGAUAUUGGUUCAAGAAGAAAUGGAAAGAAGAGGGAUGGAAGAGACUCAUAGGAGAGACGGUAAAACGUAGAUUAGACAGGGACAGAGAAAUAAGGUGAUGAACAGUCACAGGGCAGGACAGAGACAGAACAGGACUGAGAGGCCUGGCCAGAUCCCAAGGUAGGCAGACUCAAGUCAGAGACAAGCAACCCAACACACUCGGGCUUUGUGUGGGGUCCAGCUCCAAGAGUGAGGCGAAACUAAGGACCAGAGCUCCGGAGAGAGAGAAGUAAGGACAGAGGGAGACUAAGAUAACACAGAUGGCAGCAGAACUGAGAGAAGCCAAGAGGCAACAACAAAGACACCAAGAGGAAGAGAUAGAGAAAAGCUAACCUUGAGAAAGCAGAAAGCAGCAGGUGCAGACAGAAACAAUGUUCAAGGCCACAAGAGAGAGAACCAGUAACAGGAACAAAAACUCCCAGAUUUAAAUAAAUAAAUACACACACACAUAGAUACACGUAUGUAUGUGCCUCUAUGUUUGUGUUAGUACACCAUGUUAUUAGCAAUGGAUAUCACUGAGAAGUAGUAGUAUAGGAAAUUUUUUUCUUUUUUUUUGAGACGGAGUCUCGCUCUGUCGCCCAGGCUGGAGUGCAGUGGCACAAUCUUGGCUCAUUGCAACUUCCGCCUCUCGGGUUCAAGCAAUUCUCCUGUCUCAGCCUCCUGAGUAGCUGGGACUACAGGCACCCACCACCACGCCUGGCUAAUUUUUGUAUUUUUAGUGGAGACAGGGUUUCACCAUAUUUGCCAGGCUGGUCUCAAACUCCUGACCUCAGGUGAUCCACCCGCCUUGGCCUCCCAAAGUGCUGGGAUUAGAAGCACGAGCCACCGCGCCCAGCCAGAAAUUUUUAUUUUCUAUUUUGUGCUUUUGUGUAAUUUCCAAAUUUCUGUUAAUGAACACGUCUUUAUAUCAGAAAAGGAAAAACAAUAGAAAUUUAAAUAUAUAAGUACAGCCGGGUGUGGUGGCUCACGCCUGUAAUCCCAACACUUUGGUAGACCAAGGCGGGGUGGAUUGCUUGAGGUCAGGAGUUUGAGACCAGCCUGGCCAACAUGGCGAAACCUCAU